GACCUCCUGACAGGGGGCGCUAGAGAGCAGAGGACACGUGAAAGAUGCUGAAGACUAAAUCUGAGAGAGGGGGGCCGACCUGCACCUGCAGGACAGAAACACACAGCACAACCAAUAUUUACCGAAGGUGGGACACGCUCCGUUUGGUGAAACAGAAAAGUGUGAAGACGACAGGAAGAACUUCUUCCAGAGCGAGUUAAUCACCGUGGAGACAGACGUUACUGACCGGAGGAAGAGUGGACGCAGCGCUGCAGCGGGGACAGUAGCGGGUCCAGCAGGU